UUCAGGGAAUAGUCUGAGAAGGGCAAUAGCUGGGUCAAAUGGUGGUUCCAUUCCCAGCUUUCCCAGGAAUCUCCAUACUGCUUUCCAUACUGGCCGCACCAAUUUGCAGUGCCACCAGCAAUGUACAAGAGUACCCUUUUCCCCACAUCCUCGCCAGCACUUGUUGUUGUUUGACUUCAUAAUGGCUGCCAAUCUUACUGGAGUGAGAUGGUAUCUUAGGGUGAUUUUGAUUUGCAUUUCUCUGACUGCUAGAGAUGGUGAGCAUUUUUUCAUGUACUUGUUGAUUGAUUGUAUGUCCUCCUCUGAGAAGUGUCUGUUCAGGUCUUUGGCCCAUUUGUUGAUUGGGUUAUUUGUUUUCUUAUUGUUUAAUAUUUUGGGUUCUUUGUAUACUCUGGAUAUUAGGGCUCUAUCUGAAGUGUGAAGAGUAAAAAUUUGUUCCCAUGAUGUAGGCUCCCUGUUUACCUCUCUUAUUGUUUCUCUUGCUGAGAAAAAACUUUUUAGUUUGAUUAACUCCCAUUUGUUGAUUCUUGUUAUUAACUGAUCAAAGCACUCUUAAAAGAAAAAAAAAAGGUAAGUCAUCUGGACUAUUUGACCUGAUAGAAUUAUUUUCUGGCAAAAGGAAGACAAAAUAUUUCAUUUUUAUAAGACUUAAGUCUGGACUUUUUAAUCACAGAUUAUUUUGAUACAAAAUAAUUUCAUGCAUCCAUGUGUCCACUGUUACAUUUAAUCUUCAGGGUACCACAUGAGGGAAGUGGGUAUCAUGUGUAUUUUGCUGAUGAAGAAACAUAUGAAGUGUCUGCUGACUUUCUUGAAAACUAACCAGCAAAUGAGUGUCAAAGCCAUAAGGACAGCUAAUUGUCUAAGGCCCUUCCAGGAUGUGUGCUUUCCUCUGUGUUCUUUCAUGUUAAGUAUAGGACUUGUAAUUACUUACUCAAGGACUUUAAAAUAAUGCUUAUUAGGUAAUAAUAAGAAAUCUCUGGACUUAUCCAUAAUUUGACAAUCUCCAAGAUGUUUCUUGAAGUAGCCAUAAUGAAGAUCAGGAAGAAGUAAUCAGUUUCUUUUUAAAUUUCUUUAUAAGCAACCAUAAGGCUAUAUGCUUUAGCAUAAAUGUUUUCUACACAUUUUAACUUACCCACAGGAUGUUUUCCUUUAAACUUUUGAAACAAAAGCCAAUGUAUAAAGGAAAAACAGAAUUUAGAGAAGAAAGAAGAGUGGAGUUCUACUGUUCUUCGAGAAAACCAAGGAUUCAUCCGGGAGCUCGAGGCCACCAGGUGGGACCAUCCUGUGCAGCAGUGGCAUUUCUCUUGGAGCGUCUUGACCCAGCAAUAUGGGGACGGGCACCUUACCUCCGGUGUUUACAGGAAGCCAUCAUGAAAAGAACUAAGACCUUGACCAACCAAGUGGUCAAUGAGACACUUCUGAGGGAAUAUACUCUCCUGACAGAAGAAACCCCUCUAGGACCUGCCUCUGCCCCUGUUGCUCACCCCCAUGCCAGCAGGAAGUAGCCAAAGAAGAAGAAACCUCCAUGCAUAAACCACCCUAAUCCCCAAUAUUAAAACCAAAAGGAAGCUGUUGGCAUAUGAUUACAGCCAUCCUCCUUUCCCCACCCCCACUUUGUGAAUACUGUUCUUAUCCUCAAGAAACAGAAACUUGCCCGUCCUUGAGAUAGAAACUUGCCAGUCUUUGGUCUUGUUCUGUCCUGGAAAGAUAAAGACUUGCCCAUCUCUGUUCCCAAGAAACAGAAACUUGCCUUUGGCAAAAUCAGGUGAAGCUUGUUAUGCCAAUCACAAGGGCUACACCUGCCCCUAAUGGACAGCCAUGAUUCUGGCCUGUAAAAAGUAACACUCGUGGGAUUUUCUGCUGCUCUCCCUCACUGUCUGCUAAUGUAGCCUUAUCAGGUGCCUAACAAUAAAUCUGUUUUCUGCCUCUGUC